AACAUGCAAGUCGAGCGAAUCAAUGGGAGCUUGCUCCCUGAGAUUCGCGGCGGACGGGUGAGUAACACGUGGGCAACCUGCCUAUAAGACUGGGAUAACUUCGGGAAACCGGAGCUAAUACCGGAUACGUUCUUUUCUCGCAUGAGAGAAGAUGGAAAGACGGUUUACGCUGUCACUUAUAGAUGGGCCCGCGGCGCAUUAGCUAGUUGGUGAGGUAAUGGCUCACCAAGGCGACGAUGCGUAGCCGACCUGAGAGGGUGAUCGGCCACACUGGGACUGAGACACGGCCCAGACUCCUACGGGAGGCAGCAGUAGGGAAUCUUCCGCAAUGGACGAAAGUCUGACGGAGCAACGCCGCGUGAACGAAGAAGGCCUUCGGGUCGUAAAGUUCUGUUGUUAGGGAAGAACAAGUACCAGAGUAACUGCUGGUACCUUGACGGUACCUAACCAGAAAGCCACGGCUAACUACGUGCCAGCAGCCGCGGUAAUACGUAGGUGGCAAGCGUUGUCCGGAAUUAUUGGGCGUAAAGCGCGCGCAGGUGGUUCCUUAAGUCUGAUGUGAAAGCCCACGGCUCAACCGUGGAGGGUCAUUGGAAACUGGGGAACUUGAGUGCAGAAGAGGAAAGUGGAAUUCCAAGUGUAGCGGUGAAAUGCGUAAAGAUUUGGAGGAACACCCGUGGCGAAGGCCAAUUUUCUGUCUGGAACUGACACUG
rnacentral:rRNA from 1 species